UACGAGGGGAGCAAGCGUUGUUCGGAUUUACUGGGCGUAAAGAGCUCGUAGGCGGUGUGUCGCGUCGGCCGUGAAAACCUGCAGCUUAACUGUGGGCGUGCGGUCGAUACGGGCAUCACUGGAGUUCGGCAGGGGAGACUGGAAUUCCUGGUGUAGCGGUGAAAUGCGCAGAUAUCAGGAGGAACACCGGUGGCGAAGGCGGGUCUCUGGGCCGAUACUGACGCUGAGGAGCGAAAGCGUGGGGAGCGAACAGG
rnacentral:rRNA from 1 species